UUGUCUUUGUGAUUUCAUCCUCAACACUUUUAGAUGCAUGUUGGUAAAAAUAAAAAAUAAAAAUGUUCUUCUUCUUCCUCUUCCUCACUCUUCAUUUUAGCAAAAAGUGGCGUUGUUCGGUGGGAUGUUCAAGAGAUCCUUCAAGUCUGCAGAACCAGAAGCCCAAGCACAGGACAAUCUGUCGGUCAACAGUGAACUUUCAAAGAGCAGCGACAGUCUGACCGACAACAACAUCAAGGACAAAGGAGCGGGGUUCAAAGGGAUGUUUAAUAAGAAGACGACCAAAUCUGCCAAAGAGAGUCCUCUGCAGGUUUGUACUGUAGUCGUAUUUAUUCAGUUUUGUAAAACAUUUGCCACAAUCAGGUAUUCAACUUUUUGCUGUUUCCAGGCCACCCUCUCCUUGAAAGAUCCCGAACUCUCUGCCAGUAACGACAGUUUGACAGACAACAAGUCAUCCAAGGACAAACCAGGGGUGUUUGGUGGUUUACUGAAACUCUCUCACAAACCAGGGCACGCCCGGAGGCCUUCGCAGGUGAAACGCGAUCCUCUGUUACACAGCGAAAGAUUUUAUCUGGGAAAAUACAAUUAUCAGCUUAAUUACUGACAUGAAAAAUAUUGUUAAUUCGGUAAGAGGCUGACCGAUAAUCUCGUGUUUCAGGAUCUGUUGGACAAAGAGCUCUCAGUCAGUAAUGACAGUUUGUCCGACAACAGCAACACUAAGGUGAGUCUCAUCAGCCAGAGUAUUUUUAAUUUUUAGGAAUGUUCAUCUGAGGAAAAACUUUGUAAUAUACACACAAACUGCUUUUUAAACAUGUUUAUUGACAAAGCCAAUCUAGAUCGACCAGGGAUAACAAAAGUUAGAACAGGUAUUUAAAUAAGAUGGAACUAAAUAUGACCAAAAAUAUAAUUAAAACACAAGUAUUAUACUUUUUUUUUUACAAAUGCAUAGACAAUCAAACAAUUUUAAAAGUAACUAUAAAUGGAUUUUAUGUGAAAUUUGCCUGUAUGGUUUCCAUGUUUUCCUGAUUCAGC
rnacentral:lncRNA from 1 species